UACGGGGGGGGCAAGCGUUGUUCGGAAUUACUGGGCGUAAAGGGCUCGUAGGCGGCCAACUAAGUCGGAUGUGAAAUCCCCAGGCUCAACCUGGGAACUGCAUCCGAUACUGGAUGGCUUGAAUUCGGGAGAGGGAUGCAGAAUUCCAGGUGUAGCGGUGAAAUGCGUAGAUAUUGUGAGGAACACUAGUGGCGAAGGCGAAUCUCUGGACAGUUCCUGACGCUGAGGCACGAAGGCCAGGGGAGCAAACGGG
rnacentral:rRNA from 1 species